rnacentral:lncRNA from 1 species
AUCUAAACUCACAAAAGGAGAAUUAUUUGAAAGUUUGAAGGUGAGUGCAUAGAGAAAGAUAUACAACUACAAACAAAAAAUGAUCUCUCAUGGUUCCAAGUUGUAGUGCCCCACAAUAAAAUGAUGCAUGAAUCAAUUUCUUUCCUCAUUGGUCCCACAGGGACUUUUCAAGUUUGAGAGGCUGAGUGUCAAAUGCUAUUCAUUGUCAUAACUAGAAUCCAAAAAAGAUGAUAAGAUUCGUAAUGCAAUGGCUAAGAAGUUUUGCUACUCCACUUGCUUUGCAUUGGUAUAAGGUCUAUCCAUAGAUGUCCAAGCAUAAAUAUGACUUGAAGUAGAGAUGGAAACAUGAUGCCAAUAGAAUUGAUUGGUACCUAAUAUUCCAUGGAGAAAGGUGUAUAGGUAAGAUAUAACCUAUUAAACUAGAUUGGAGGUUUAGAAAUUCAUAAAAAUCAAUUAUAUUAUAUACUUAUACCAAAUAUGAGUUUUUUUUCUUUUUUAUUUUUUUCCCUCCUUUUGAAAUUCAAAUUUGAUCUUAAUACAUUUAUGGAUUUGCUUUUGAGAUCAACUUUAGUUGUGUCAGUUCUUUGAAGAAAAAAAAAACUUUCAUCAUGCCUUGAAGUGAAAUCUCCGUCCUCAAUCCCCAUUAAAUAACAUAUAAUUGACUUAUGUGGAGAGUGUAAAAGCCUACUAAAUUGGUUCAAUCUAUUUAGUAGCACCAAAAUAUCAAAGCAAAACCCUAUAAUAACAAUUUGCAGCAAUUAUCAUCUAUAAAAGGGAUUUUAUUUAUUUAUUUUGCUAAAAUGAGAAAGAAUGGAAUUCAAGUUAAUAAGUAGUCAUUUUAAUUACUUAGGAAAUUCAUGUUUUAAUCCAAUAUUUAAUAACAGUGUCUAAAGCAUGUAUUUAAUAUAAUAAAAAGUUAGAUAGACGCAUAAUUAAGACCAUUAUUUUCAAUAAUUCUAAUACUUCACCCAUUAAAUAGGAUAACAACUUGCAAGGACCUCAUUUCUUUCACACAAGCAUGUGGGUAUGUCUUAUAAUUAAAUAGCUCACCAUGCUUGGCUAGCUAUAUGGAAAAAUCAAACAUUAUGGGCAAGUUGAUGUACCCAGUUACCCCCAUACUUCAAUACUGACUAAGAUAGUCAAUGCUAUAGAAAAAUCAAACACUGUGGGCAAGUUGAUGUCCUUUUUAACCAUUAAUUUUCUUAUUAAGAAAUGAGGUACUUUUAGAGAGUUACUAAUUUCCUUAUUCUUAAGAGAAAAUUCACAAGAAAAAUUGAUGAUAUGAUUCAUGAAGAAAUAAACAAAAUCAAAAUCAGAUUUUGGAGAGCCUUACAUUAGUCAAUAAAGGCAUACUUUUUUCAAAUUAGAAAAAUGCAGGGGAUACCAAGUUAGGUUUCACUAGAAAUGUAGUAGCAAAUUCCAUAAAGGCAAAAUAACAAUCUAAACUCACAAAAGGAGAAUUAUUUGAAAGGUUGAAGGUGAGUGCAUAGAGAAAGAUAUACAACUACAAACAAAAAAUGAUCUCUCAUGGUUCCAAGUUGUAGUCCCCCACAAUAAAAUGAUGCAUGAAUCAAUUUCUUUCCUCAUUGGUCCCACAGGGACUUGUCAAGUUUGAGAGGCUGAGUGUCAAAUGCUAUUCAUUGUCAUAACUAGAAUCCAAAAAAGAUGAUAAGAUUCGUAAUGCAAUGGCUAAGAAAUUUUGCUACUCCACUUGCUUUGCAUUAGUAUAAGGUCUAUCCAUAGAUGUCCAAGCAUAAAUAUGACUUGAAGUAGAGAUGGAAACAUGAUGCCAAUAGAAUUGAUUGGUACCUAAUAUUCCAUGGAGAAAGAUGUAUAGAUAAGAUAUAACCUAUUAAACUAGAUUGGAGGUUUAGAAAUUCAUAAAAAUCAAUUAUAUUAUAUACUUAUACCAAAUAUGAGUUUU